GCGACUGAAAGGUCAGUAGUAUGAGGUUUUGAUCCGGGGAUGAGACACCCGCCCCGGGAGUGUGGGGUAAACGGCGGAGAGGGACCCCUGACUCGUCUGGAGAAGGAGUGGAUCUUUCAGCGGGCUUAUAGCCGCUGUGUGUUGUCAAGGCAGCGGAGCAUUAGUGCCUGGAAAGGCCCAUCGACGCCGCCUGGUUACGAUCGGGGGGAGAAUCCCAGGAGGUCUGAGCUCGACCCCAAAUACACCAGCCCAGUAAGAUGAGAGGUAAUGAGCACAGCAGACGCGCCAGGCGGUCCUUUCAGUCUUUGUUGACGUCCACCUGUCUUCCUUUGCUUACGAAUACACCUGCGCACUUAGCAGAGCAGCUGAGGAGCAGCGGUGAUGGUUGAGAUCAAAGCCCGGACCACUCAAUCCUCAGGGUUUAGUCCUUGUUGGUACGAGUAAAGACGGCAGAGCCCAAAGAGCACACCUUCACACUCAAGGCUCCAAAGUUCCCCUCAGAUCAUCGUAAUCCACCUGGAUUGUUUCUGACAGGACAGGGAUCCUCCUGCUGGCCUGAACCCCCCUGUCCGCUCUGGAGUACAACCCACACCAGAACCCCGACCCCAGACCCAAACCAGGCACCGCUCUGCCAAAGUCCACAAGCAGCUGGAGAACAUGGACCUUUUCACCCUCAGAGUGUGAUCUGGUCCUGCUGGAGCUCAGCUGCAGAGCACAAGGAAGUCAAAUCCCAUUCAUUUUCUUAUUAGAGAUGGUAAAGAGAAACAAUGUUUAAUGAUAACUUCUACCCACAAUCCUCAGGUGUGAUAGCGACACAAUCCUGAAUACCCCAAUCAUAAAAAUAAUGCUGGUUACAAUCUGAUCGUUCAGCGUUAUAUUACGUUCAGUACAGAGCUAACACUGUUUAACUUCUUAAAAAAAAUAUACAAAUUAUAAAAUUGUACCUUUGCCUUUUUUUGUUUUCCAAAAUAUUUUUGCUCCAGAUCAUGUUUUUAAAAUUCCAACGUUUUGUUAUUUUAGGUGUCUUCAACCACUGUUUCCAAAUAGAUUUUUAUCUUUGAAUGUUAUAUCUACAUUAAUCAACAUACAGCACAACAACUCGGUAGACAACACAAAAAAAGUCAUGUUCACAUUUGUUUCAUUUAUAUAUAAAUAUAAAAGGUCAAAUCCAAAGAUUGUGUUUCUGUAAAUAUGUCUCACACAACUGGGCUGUUGGUGAAAUAUACUGAAGCCAUAUAAAUUUACAUGUUGUGUAUCACA